AAUUAACUCCGGGGGCAGUUAAACAACAUCGAUUUAUUUGAGUCUACACGCCUUGUUCUCUGGAUGCACGUCUGCUCCGUAUCACAAUAAUAUGAGUGAUAAUGCGUGGUCGACAAGUGUGAUGGUGACAGACAGUCGAUAAUGAAUAAACUGCCAAUGCAUUGUCCGUGGAGUAUAUACCAUAUACAUCUCUAGAUGGAAUCAUGGAAGGGACUGCUGAAGCUGCAUCCGGCUCGCAGGUGUGCUCAUAUGCAUCCAAAAAAGCGAGAGAGAGAGAUGUACAGACAUAUAGUUGGUUAGAUUAAAUUAGUUGAGGGAUCUAAACUUGUUUUUCCCAGCAUCACUUC
rnacentral:sRNA from 2 species